UGCCUAGAGGAUCUCGAUGCCUAUUAUCGAUGGAGAGUCAUAUGCUGUAUUCAUAGGUCAGAUGAGAGAUUCUUUUAGAUUAACAUAAAUUUUUGUUCAUGAAAGAAUCAUAAUCGUAGUGGAGUCCUUAAUUUGAUCAGAAUCCAUCUUUAUCUCAAAAAUUUUUUAAUUAUUUAUUAUCAUCUUAAUUAUCUUGAAUUAUUUUUAAUGAUUAGAUCAUG
rnacentral:lncRNA from 1 species